rnacentral:lncRNA from 1 species
AUGUCCAUCCAGGUUCUGUUUAAAAGCUUCCAAGGAGUUUUGGCCCUCCCUCCUGUUGUUUUGGACAAGGGCGGAAGUCGUCCUUUGCAGAGGACGGAGGGCAUCUGUGGGCCCCUUCCAGGCCAGGACCAUGGAGAGGGGGAGGGCUCUUCUGACAGCUUCCUACUCUCUUUCCUUCCUUCCUUCCCUUUGCAUGUACUUUCUGUCUUAGCUCCCUUCUCUUUGCAUCAAGUUUUCUCUGUGCCUUGCUGUGCCUUCUGUGCACCUUGCUUUCUCUCUUUGCUCUUUUCCCUUUGCGUCUGCUUUCUGUGCAUCUUGCUUUCUCCCCUUUGCAUGUGCAUCCUUUGCACCUUGAUUUGUCUUUGCUCCCUUCUCUUUGCAUCUGUUUUCUCUGUGCCUUGCUUUCUCCCUUCCUUUUGCAUGUGUUUACUGUGCAUCUUGAUUUCUCCCCUUUGCAUGUGCAUCCUUGGCACCUUGUUUUCUGUCUUUGCUCCCUUCUGUUUGCAUUUGUUUUUUCUCUAUGCCUUGCUUUCUCCCUUCCUUUUGCAUGUGUUUACUGUGCACUUUGCUUUCUCCCCUUUGAUUGUGUUUUCUGUGCCCCUUGCUUUCCCUUUUGGCUUCCUUGGCGUGUUUUUGUGCCCCUUGCUUUGCAUGUAUUUUCUCUGCACCUUGCUUUCUGUCUUUGCUCCCUUCUUUUUGCAUCUGUUUUCUCUGUGCCUUGCUUUCUCCCUUCCUUUUGCAUGUGUUUUCUGCGCCCCUUGCUUUGCAUGCAUUUUCUCUGCACCUUGCUUUCUCUCUCUGCCCAAUAUCUACUCUCUUCCCUUCCUUCCCUUUGCAUGUGCAUCAAUUAGUACCUUGGGUUCUGUCUUUGCUCCCUUCUUUUU